GUAGUCGUGGCUGAGUGGUUAAGGCGAUGGACUCGAAAUCCAUUGGGGUUUCCCCACGCAUGUUCAAAUCCUGUCGACUACG
rnacentral:tRNA from 2 species